GCAAAAGUGACCUGAGGCCAUCGUCCCAGGAUCGCAUGACGAUGGGGCCUAAGUGAAGAGUGUGUGUGUGUGUAGAUGUGUGUGUGUGUGUGUGUAGAGUGUGUGUG